rnacentral:rRNA from 1 species
UACGUAGGUGACAAGCGUUAUCCGGAAUUACUGGGCGUAAAGCGCACGCAGGCGGCGCGGUAAGUCUGAUGUGAAAUCUCCCGGCUUAACUGGGAGGGGUCAUUGGAAACUGCCGAGCUUGAGGCGAUGAGAGGGGUGUAGAAUUCCCGGUGUAGUGGUGGAAUGCAUAGAUAUCGGGAGGAAUACCAGUGGCGAAAGCGGCACCCUGGCAUUAGCCUGACGCUCAUGUGCGAAGGCGUGGGGAGCGAACGGG